UACGGGGGGUGCAAGCGUUUGUUCGGAAUCACUGGGCGUAAAGCGCGUGUAGGCGGCCUUCUAAGUCUGAUGUGAAAGCCCGGGGCUCAACCCCGGAAGUGCAUUGGAUACUGGGAGGCUGGAGUACCGGAGAGGAGGGUGGAAUUCCUGGUGUAGCGGUGAAAUGCGUAGAUAUCUGAAGGAACAUCAGUGGCGAAAGCGACUUCCUGGACCAAUACUGACGCUCAUGUGCGAAAGCGUGGGGAGCGAACAGG
rnacentral:rRNA from 1 species